UACAGAGGUGGCAAGCGUUGUUCGGAAUUACUGGGCGUAAAGGGCGCGUAGGCGGCUUGGUCAGUCCCGUGUGAAAUCCCUCGGCUCAACUGAGGAACUGCACGGGAAACUGCCUGGCUUGAGUUCGGGAGAGGGAAGCGGAAUUCCGGGUGUAGCGGUGAAAUGCGUAGAUAUCCGGAGGAACACCGGUGGCGAAGGCGGCUUCCUGGACCGGCACUGACGCUGAGGAGCGAAAGCGUGGGGAGCGAUCCGG
rnacentral:rRNA from 1 species